AUUAUCGGAAAUUUCGCACUGUCUGUGAAUCAUCACCGGGAUGCUUACAUCACAGUUAACAUUUCCUCUUGAUUUUAUGUAACAUGUUUGCUAGCUUUUUUGUUUUGUUUUGUGAUACUUUGCAAAACUAAACUUAAAUACUUCGCAUAGUUCUUCACAUAGAUCUUAACCGAUACAGCUCUUUUAUGAAUUACCAGUGAUCGAGGUAUUUUCUGGAUUAACUGUGUUAAGUGUGUUUGAAAGAAUUCAAACUCUUUUAUCAGCUUUGAUGUUGGUUCACAUUGUACAACGCUUGACACCGUGUAUGCCGUAUUUCUGUACAACACGAUAUUUGUCAGCUAUAAAGGAGUAUUGUUAGACAAGAAGACUAUCGGCAAUAUGAUAUGGGGCAAUUAAAAACAACUGGAAACAUGGAGUCCAUCGAUGUCGUGGUCAGAAUCCGACAUUUGAAAUGAUUCAAAUAUGGAAACAUUUUGGUAUAUGAUUUUGGCGUUUGGCAUUAUCGUCUUUGUCUUCCUUCUACUUGUAUGGACGCUGUGUAACUGUAUAAGCUGCGAUAGUCACCAACCUCGUAUGUGGAAUCCUAGUUUUCAUUUUUGUAGCUAUUGGAAGAAAAAGAAAUAAAGAUGACACCUCAAAUACACAGGAGGCAAUUGUUCUACCUGAUAACACAAUUAGAAACAGUCAAGACGACGGUCGUUCUCCAAUAAAUGAGGACCAUUAUUCAUUUAAUAGUUCAUCCGAAGACCAACCCGAUGAUGAUCCUUGGAAACCUCCAGACUACAACUCUGUUACAGCAAUGGACACGUUAAUUAAUGAAAAAACAAAACCUCGUCAGAUCUUUGCUAGUGAAAUAGGUCAAGGUAGUACGGAUGAUCUUGAUGACCCUCCUCCUCCCUAUCCGGGUGUUUAAAACGUACAGUAGAUAUUACAGAAGCCGCUUUGUUUAAUCAAUGUGAAAGUCUGUAGGCCAAGAGUCUGUUUCACAAUUCUGCUGAAGUUUAACUGAUAUUAAGAUUUUAGCACCAAUUUGUAGAUCAUAGUUAAAUUUAUUAGCAGUAUGCAAAAUAAAAAUUAUAUAAAAAAAAUGUUGGAAUAUAAAGUUAAAAAAGUGAAAAACGUGGAAUACAUUGAUGGAUGUGAAGCAACGGUACAUGUGUAUGCAUAUAUGCUAAAACUUACACGAGAUAUUCUGCUAAUCCGGAGAAAUAUGAAAAGACAUGCUAUUCUUUGUUAAUAAUUUAAUAAUUCCUUAAUAAGAACAGUUCAAUGAUACACUGAAUGACGUAUCUGUUGGCUUAUUCCUCUAUUGUCGGAAAACGCGAGGUGAGCAUUGAUACAUACAUGUAUUUAUGAAACUUCGAAAUCUAUCUUCGAAAUGUUUUGGUAUAAACUCCGGACUGAAAAUGGUUCAUGCACGUGAAAUUGGUUAUGACAAGACUAGAACUAAAAGCGGUGUCUUUGAGACUAUAGCACUGAGGUGGAGCUGUCAUGCCAAUAACAUAUAAUCUUGUCCAUGGUAGAAACUCAUAAACAACGCACUGUUAUGGGAUGUUACAAAAUCGUAUCAUGUGAGGAACCCAACCAUGAUCUAUACUUGAAAGUAUGGUGCAAAAGGCAACUAGUUGCGAUAGUAAACCAGAACCGUUGAGAACAAGUGCCUGAAAAAUAUUUUCGUUGCUAACCGUUAGAUAUGUUUGUUGACAAGAUUAUGUUUGAAAUUUUACGAGUCAGUGAUGAUACUAGUAUUAAAAUUUCGUUUGAGCUAAUCUCGAACCUUAACUUUUAGCCUGCUGUCGGCAAGUGCUUCUGCCUAUGCGACCAGUACAGACCAUGAUCAGCCUCUGGUCUGCACUGUUUGCUAUCCAGACAGAAAAUUUCAUUGAACAUCCAUUCAAUUAGUAAGUGGUACUGCCCAAAUUGAAUGAUGGACCAGUCCAUUUUAGAAAUUUUGCAGGGUAAGGGUUAAGCAUGGGAUCCAUACCAGCAGUGGGGACUCAUUUACUAUUAAGGUGGGGACAUAUAUGCAGCUUCUUGUCUCGUUAUAGAAGAUUCCGAUUGCUCCUGCUUUAAAGACAUUAUUAUAUUCUACAUCAAAGUAGUUGUGUAACCAGACCAGGGUUACUACGAAUAUUACGUGACUUUGUGUGUGUCUGUAAACGUAAAACUGAAGCGCCUGCCAACAAAGUUGGAACACUACAAUCUGAAACAAACGCAAAUUGUUGCUGAAAAUCUAAGAACAAAAGAAACAAGGGACUUCAAACAAGCCAA